GCAAAGACCUGACUUCCUGUUUAUCUUUCUGAGACGCCUCCAUUCUGAACAUGGUUAAGCUGGAACCAGGUGAGAUUCUAGCAUCAGAAUGUAACGGGAGUCACCUGUAGGUGUCUCUAUACCCAUUGUUCAGAGGGUAUAAAAAGGAAGUUGACGUGUGGUUGCUAUGGUGCUAACUGCCUGUGAGAAAGCCGGUUAGCUCAGAGAGCAGCGUGAGUUGGCUCGAGCAAAGAGUGCGGAUCACGGCAGAGUCACUUCCCUUAGGUUUCACCCCGCAUGUUAUUUUGUUUUCCCUUUUUGGCAGCCUGCAACAAGAAGACCAGGUUUGAUUCAAGCCCUGAAACAGACUGGAACCUGAACCUGUUCAGGGUGGACCCGGCCUUUGCCCAACAGUCCCUGGGUUGUGAUUUGGCGGACCCUGAAAAUGGAUGGAUGAAUGGACCCCUCCCACCACUCUCUGGAAGAACCAAAAACUGAAGAGGACUCGACUCAACUCAAAUUCAGCUGCUUAUUUGGGGUCUCUCUCUUUCAAAGUAAGCUGUGAACAGGACAGAAAAAACAGGGAAAAGUAAAGCAGAUAGUCCCACUAGUCUCUGAUUGUCAUCUCUGAAGAAGCUCCCACAGAUCCUUUCUGCUCCACAUUUACCCAGCAGACAUUUCCAAACUUCUUCAUGACUCCUGCUUCUUCAGAUUCACACUGUGGUGUCUUCUCCUCCAAACACACAAAGUUGACAGCACCUCCUCCCUUUGGUUUGUAAAAAGUCCAUCUGCAUUCUCACUGAAGUGAACCACAUCAGAGUUCAUCUGCAUUAGAACAGACACCCUCAGGGGAACCAGAGUUCUCUUGUUUGGUCCAAACCAAAGCUCAGGUGAAACGUUCACACCUGACAAACCAUGAGAGGAAACUGAUCAGACCAGGACCAGACAUGAAUGCACCCUAGAACAGUUUGGGAUACAUCCAACCCUGUCCACAGAAAUGCUCUUUAAUUUUUACAGUUCCCAUUUUAAAGUUUGUGUAUUUGGAUACCGUUUCAUUAAAGCCCAAAUUUCUGUAAAGGC